UACGGAGGGUGCGAGCGUUGUCCGGAAUCAUUGGGCGUAAAGGGCGCGUAGGUGGCCCGGUCAGUCUUUGGUGAAAGCGCGGGGCUCAACCCUGCGUCGGCCAGGGAUACUGCCGCGGCUCGAGCACUGUAGAGGCAGGCGGAAUUCCGGGUGUAGCGGUGGAAUGCGUAGAGAUCCGGAAGAACACCCGUGGCGAAAGCGGCUCUCUGGAACGGUACUGACGCUGAGACGCGAAAGCGUGGGGAGCGAACAGG
rnacentral:rRNA from 1 species